rnacentral:lncRNA from 1 species
CCCAUACCAUGGGCUUUCUUUUUGUAUCUAUCUAGAGAACCUGGUACCAAACCUCUUCUUGGAGCUUUUCUUCGUCUUUCAGCUCCUCACUGCCCGGAGGAUGGUGACUGCCAAGGACAGUGACCCUGAACUAAGUCCAGCUGUCCUAGAUUCCCUGGAAAGUCCACUGUUCCAAAGCAUCCACGAUUGUGUCUUCUUUGCAGUGCAGGUUUUGGAGUGUCACUUUCAGUCUCUCUGGUGAUGCCUCCCUCUACUCAAGCUGUCUCCUUUCAGCCAGAGACUGACAAUCGUGCCAACUUCUCCAGUGACCGAGCCUUUCAUACUUUUAAGAAACAGAGGGAUGUGUUUUAUGAGGUGCUGCGAGAGUGGGAAGAUCACCAUGAGGAGCCUGGCUGGGAUUUUGAGAAGGGCUUGGGCAGCAGAAUCAGGUGGGUGCUCAGACCUUGUC